GCCUUGUUACCUAAAUAGGAGAGUAGCGCCUUGAAAGCGCUAGGUCGCAGGUUCAAUUCCCGCUCAGGGCG
rnacentral:tRNA from 1 species